CGCUGAUGCUACUUCAUGGCGGUGGUCGCAGUCGGUGAGGCUUCGUCGUCUGAAAUCUGACAGAGGUUAAUUCGCACUAUCAAGCGUCGUCGAUUGAAAUUGAACAUGUGUUGGUUUCAAAAUGGAAGCAGGUUGCGUGAUCUGCGUCAUGGAAUGUUAACGAAGGAGAUGAGAACAGUGUGGUGUGCGACCCAACGAAUUCGAAUCAGAUGUGUCGAAUGGAUCGAGUUGGGGCCACUGCAUUGCACAGCAGCAAAAUUGAUUAUCAUAUGAAGAACGGUGCUGUACACAUAAAACACAUGGACACGUAACAGGCCGAGCAUAUUUUCGGCUCCAGUGUGAUGGAAGCAGAAAUGGUGUUGCCGUUUGGUUUGUAAGAUCAUGGAUGUGGUGAAGAGUCACUAAUUGUUCGACGAGUGCACGCGUGUUGGUCUGAUGGAAUAACCCAGCGUCACCGAAAUGUUUCCGCCCACCUCCAAGUUGCCCACGUCGUUGCCGACGAGUAUGGAUGAUCGAUCGCAGGAUCUGGUAAUUCAGAUGCUGAAUCUUCUCGCAAGCGAAAGCAGCUGCAGAGGCACUUCUACCUGUUUGGGGCACAGGGACCCCUCAUGUAUAAGAAGCGAAACUGGUCGUCAGGUUCGAUCAACGCAGCUGAUUGCUCGAAUAGAGGUGCUUCUCGACCUGCAACAACUCCAGAGAGGUGGGUGAGGAUUAGUGAUGGCGCCUGAUUUGCAAGGUAUGGGUGGAGGCGGGGACGACAAGCGCCGGACGGUGCACGAGGAGGUACCACUAGUGCACAAAGUGCACGUGCCUCCUCGGGGCGGGCUCGUGAAGGACGUGAGCCACGGGCUAUGGGAGACGUUCUUCCAUGAUGCUCCCCUGAGACAGUUCAAAGGGCAGAGCAAACACUCCAAAAGCUGGUUGGGGCUGAAGUUUGUCUUCCCCUUGCUGGAAUGGAUCACCACGUACACUCCCAGGAUGUUUGUUAGCGAUUUCAUUGCCGGCCUCACCAUCGCCAGUCUUGCCAUUCCCCAGGACCUCGGCUAUGCGAAGCUCGCUGGAGUGCCCUCUGUAAAUGGACUUUAUUCGAGUUUCGUGCCGCCCUUGGUCUAUGCCUUGCUCGGUAGUUCCCGUGACAUUGCCAUUGGUCCCGUGGCUGUGGUAUCACUUCUCUUGGGAACUUUGUUGAAGCAAGAGCUGAGUCCCACGAAGCAGCCACAACUUUACUUGCAACUGGCGUUCACGGCGACCUUCUUCGCUGGUCUCUUCCAGACAGCUUUGGGCCUCUUGCGGCUAGGUUUCGUCAUUCAGUUCCUCUCGCAUGCGGCGAUUGUGGGUUUCAUGGCGGGUGCGGCUGUUACCAUCUCCUUGCAACAGCUGAAGGGGUUGCUGAACAUAACGCACUUCACCACGGACACGGACUUCAUUUCCGUCAUGACGUCUGUCUUUCAAAACACUAAUGAGUGGAACUGGCGAUCGAUCGUGAUUGGGCUUGCUUUCUUAUCAUUUCUCGUGCUCACAAAGAUCCUGGCUAAGAAGAAACCUAAGUUGUUUUGGGUUUCUGCUAUUUCACCUCUUAUUUCGGUGGUUCUUGCGACAUUGUUCGUGUUUAUCUUCAGGGUGGACAAGUACGGCGUCAAAGUGGUUGGGAACAUCAAGAAAGGGGUGAACCCAUCGUCAGCAGAUCAGAUAUUUUUUACUGGAAAAUACGUCACAGCAGGAGCGAAAAUCGGUUUCGUUGCGGCUCUUAUUGCACUUACCGAGGGUGUUGCAAUUGGACGAACUUUUGCGGCGCUGCGAGACUACCACAUUGAUGGAAACAAGGAGAUGAUUGCCUUCGGUAUCAUGAACAUUUGUGGCUCAGUCACUUCAUGCUAUGUUGCAACUGGGUCAUUCUCCAGGUCGGCCGUAAAUUACCAGGCAGGAGUCAAGACAGCCAUGUCCAACAUCGUCAUGGCCAUUGUGGUACUCAUUACACUGGUGGCACUCACCCCCUUAUUCAAGUACACCCCAAAUACCAUCCUCGCCGCCAUCAUCAUCUCCGCUGUCAUCUCUUUGGUCGACUUCAAAGCAGCAUGGCUUAUAUGGAAGAUUGACAAGUUCGACUUCCUGGCUACUUUGGGUGCUUUCUUUGGCGUUUUCUUCGUCUCUGUAGAGAUCGGUCUUCUUGUUGCUGUCUGCAUCUCCUUCGUCAAAAUCCUUUUCAACGUCACUCGACCCCACACCGCUCGCUUGGGAAAUAUCCCUGGGACAAAAGUGUACCGAAACAUUUUGCAAUAUCCGGACGCUACUCUUCCACAUGGCAUUGUUGCUGUUCGUCUUGACGCUGCCAUUUACUUCUCCAACUCACAGUAUAUCCAUGACAAGGUCCUCCGAUAUCUAGAGGAUGAGACCGAAAGGGUGGCUAAGACGGGCGGCCCUCGUAUUGAGUACCUCAUCGUUGACUUGACUCCUGUGACAAACAUUGAUACAAGUGGGAUCAUCGCCUUCGAGGAGCUCCACAGGAUACUAGUUAAACGAAACGUUCAGUUGGCGUUUGCAAACCCAGGAUCUCAAGUCAUCCAGAAGUUUGACAGUUCCGGUUACUUAACAACCCUUGGAUCGGAGUGGAUAUUUUUCUCAGUAGCUGAAGGUGUCCAAGUCUGCUCCGUGCUGUUGAACAAAUCUGCGGCUGAACGAUCUGUUUAGACAAAAUUACUGUCUCAUUUGAUUUUGCAUGCUUUUCUAGUCUGCUCGAAUGAGCACUUUUCUGAUUCUGACUGAACAAGAAUGUGUAAUUCACGUCCAAUGCGACUCUAAACAUUCUUUCAGGACAGAAUUCAGAAACUGACCAACGUUGUGUGAAAUAGGUUUCUCCUUUCAGAACUUUGAGAACAAAGUUCCUUCAAAUCCCAUAGAACCCACUAUUGUUAGACGUGACUAAAUACAGUCAUCUUGUGGGAGGCUUUCCGAGAAUUCAAAAAGUUCAAAUUACUAUUUGUAAUACAAGGGCACGGCCACCCCCUACAGCCACGCAUUUCCACGGCAAAGCACUGGAUGCCUCCGUAGAGGUUUCAUUCGUCUUUAGGAUGAGAAAUAGUACCGAUCGUCGGUCUUCUUCUCAUCCAUCCUCGGGAUGACCCAUUCCCAACAAAAACAAAACAGCCUCGUCUGGCUAAGACAAGGCUCUCCUCUUCGCUUCGCCCGCAUCUGCUUGCCUCGUCUGCCGCUUGCCGAGAGCCUCGUGGCUCCUCGCUUCGACGCAUGCUUCCAUGCUGUGAAGCUGCUCUCUUUGGUGUAAUCAGUGCUGUGGGUGGAGUAAGUUGCAGUCAUAUCUGUUGUCGCCGUGCUUCUUCUCACCGUAGCGUAUUGCUCAAAUCUGCUCGGAUCAGAGAAUGGUCUGCUGAGCAAGUGCCGGCUUGCAGGGACUGCCGCGUGGGCGCUAGUGUUUGAGGAUCGCAUCGUCAGAGCCGAGCUGAUGCGUAGUUUGUGAUGAUAUCGAGUCUACUUGGAAGGUUCGGAUCCACAGCAGCUUGGCUCCCCUGCAUGUGUCGGUUCGGGGUUUGCAGGUAGGGUUGAGUUGCAGAUUCCUAGGCUUUUGCGAGUCGUUAAGGAGCAGCUGUACCUGUGUCUAUACUGGGUGUUUCUUCGGGCUUAUUGUUUCAGAUUGCUCUACCGGUACGAGUUUUGUUUGUAGUUUGUGGGGCGGCCGUGCCUGUGUCGGUAAGGGUUGAGUGUUGGUUCCCCUGCUUUGACGAUUUGCUGAGUAGCAUCUAUACUUGUGUCUGUAGUGGGUGUUUCUUCGUGCUUGUUGUUUCAGAUUGCUGCCGCGGUUCGAGUUUUGUUUGGUUUUGUGCGGUGGCCGUGAGGAAUUUAGGAUUGGCGUAAUGGUUAUGUCCCGGAUAGUGUUAUGUAGUGGUUAAGGCACUUUUUAGCACAUUGUACACAUAUGUAUAGAUUGUCUGAAGUUGGGGCGACUAUAUCUCUUCAUGCUAGACACAUUUAUAGGCUACAGUAGAUGUUAGACAAGAUGUAUUGUGUUCAGUAUUUAGUGUGGUUGUCAUGGAGACUUAAUCACAAGAAUUCGGGCCGCUCAAAACUAUACCAUUAUUAUGUUUUAAUUAUGGUAUAUAUAAUUUUAAAGAAUGUUGGGUGCUAUGUCUAGAUGAAUACAUUAACAAGUAUAAAUUGGGAAUAAAUAUAAGACUAAUGUAUUAAUGAAGGAUUUGGGUGGUAAAGAAAUGUUAAUAUAGACAUUUGAGUUGGCAUUGAUGUGUUUGGGGAUGGUUGAUGUGUUUGGAGAUAUUUGAUAUAUGGUGGAAACAAGACAAACAUUUAGGUGAGAUGGUUAUUUGUGGGAUAUUUUAGUGAUUUGGUAGAAAAUAUUACAUUGUUUUAGUAUGUAUUUUAGGUGUUAUAGUAUAUAAAUACAAUGAUGAUUAUGAUUUGUAAAAAAGUAUAGGAUUUAUAAAUAGAGGUGUUGUGAUUUUAAUAUGUAAAAGAUUGAUUAUUUGAAUGAAGAUGUAGAAUGUUAAUAGGUGGCAUUACUUGAAGGGUUGAAGAUAUUUUGUUGUGAUGUUUUGUUGUGAUUCUUGUAAAUAUUAUGAUGGAAUAUAAAACAAGGUAAUUUUAUAUGA